CCUUCACGUUUCGUCCCCAACACAGACGUCACCCGAAAAUUGGUAGGACUAAUUUUGGCGACAUUUUGCAUCAUUGCGCUCGUCUAAAGCCUGGUUCACAUAUGCCUGCGGUAUGCCUGCGACUGUAUCAUUAUGCCUCUACUUGCCGCCGAAAUACCGGCAAAGUUGAACUCAAGUCAACUUUCCCGGCCUACCGCCGAUGUAACUGUGGCACUGGAGGCAAUCGACG